UAUCCAGACUCCUACGGGAGGCAGCAGUGAGGAAUAUUGGUCAAUGGGCGCGAGCCUGAACCAGCCAAGUAGCGUGAAGGAUGACUGCCCUACGGGUUGUAAACUUCUUUUAUAAAGGAAUAAAGUGAGGCACGUGUGCCUUUUUGUAUGUACUUUAUGAAUAAGGAUCGGCUAACUCCGUGCCAGCAGCCGCGGUAAUACGGAGGAUCCGAGCGUUAUCCGGAUUUAUUGGGUUUAAAGGGAGCGUAGGCCGGUCUUUAAGCGUGCCGUGAAAUUUUGUGGCUCAACCAUGAGAGUGCGGCGCGAACUGGAGACCUUGAGUGCGCGGAAGGCAGGCGGAAUUCGUGGUGUAGCGGUGAAAUGCUUAGAUAUCACGCAGAACCCCGAUUGCGAAGGCAGCCUUCCGGCGCCCUACUGACGCUGAGGCACGAAAGUGCGGGGAUCGAACAGGAUUAGAUACCCGAGUACAG
rnacentral:rRNA from 1 species